UUUCAAAUGAAAUUGUAUAGUGUCUAUAGAGCUAAUUAAGUGGUUGUGCAGUGUGUUGUAUGUAAACUGGGUUGAUUUGUUGUUUUUCACGCAAAGAUAUGUAGAUGAAUAAGUGCACUGCAGUGUCAAUCCUUUUCGGAUUGCUUCUUCCUCAUCCGAAUCACGGCUCUCCGGAUGAUAUUGAUGUACCAACAUCUUCAGUUCUGUGUUGUAGGUUUACUGGUUACUGUCGGAAACAAUAUCAGAAACAGGACAGCACCACAAGAACUUCUUCGAACAUUUACAAACAAUCUUACGAUGGAAAAGGUACCGGGAGGAUCACCGAGGGCUCCUGAUGGAAUCUCUCAUGUGUCGUACUACUGGUCGAAUGUUUGGUGUACAAAACUCCGAUAUCCUAACACUUGCUGGAAUUAUGAUGUUACUGAGUGCUGUCAACCAAAUACGCCUGGAAAAGUUUAUUUUGCUAUCCCUCCCAUCAUUCAAUAUUUUUUCCCAAAACCCAUCAAUCUACAUCGAAGCGAAAGAUUGGGUGUUAGUAGACUGUGGAAUGCGAGGGCAAAGCAAACCUCUUUGCUAUAAGGGACUCUAGAACGAGUAUGACAAAAUGUAUUACUCCCACUAGAAUCACAAGAAUGUCGGUUAUAUUGCCAGUCAACUACAGUCUAGUUAGGCACCGUACACAUUAGAAGAAGGAUACGUUUCUUGCGCCGAUCAUGCCAGUUUCAUCCAACGAUUCAUAAACGAGGCCGUGGUAAAAGAUCUCCACUACUGACGAUCCGGAGCCAGCGUCUUCACUUGGUCCCAGUCAAGAUUCUCGUCGACUGUCGGAUUUCGGCGGCUACAGUGAACGAAUUUACAUAAAUGAAGAUGGGUGAAAAGGAUUGGAACAUCGAUAUGUAUGCUGCUGCUGAGAUUCGCUCUGCGCUGGUUUAUGGAAAACUAUGUUCCUGCUGUUACACUUUAUCUAGGA